UACGUAGGGAGCAAGCGUUGUCCGGAAUCAUUGGGCGUAAAGCGCGCGUAGGCGGCCCGAUAAGUCCGCUGUAAAAGUCAACGGCUCAACUGUUGAAAGCCGGUGGAUACUGUCGGGCUAGAGUACGGAAGAGGCAAGUGGAAUUCCUGGUGUAGCGGUGGAAUGCGCAGAUAUCAGGAGGAACACCAAUAGCGAAGGCAGCUCGCUGGGACGUUACUGACACUGAGGCGCGAAAGCGUGGGGAGCGAACAGG
rnacentral:rRNA from 1 species